AUUUUUACGUCACGGAGGCAGAAGAUCGAACUGCAGGAUGGAUUUAGCAGAGGCAUGCAUUGGCUGCUUGACAUAUCCCUGGAAGAGGACACCAACUAGCUAACACAGUCAAUGACAGAUGUCUCUUUGAAUUGAUAAAAUCAUAAUCAAAUGGAUAUAAUACAGAAGUUUCAAAGAUCUGUUUUGAUGUAGCCUGAAGAUUUUGUAAUGAAUGAUCCAGGAUCCAAAAGUUCUUCGCGGAGUUCAAAGACAGUUGCAAUGUGGUUGCUAAUUUAGUGACAGAUUAAGAAAGAAGUUCAAACAAGCAUUGUCAUGGGAAAACAUGAAAAAGGAAGAAGUUGGAGGUGGACAAAAAUCAGGAUGAAUAUACUAGAGAAACUAUUAAAGCACAGAAGAAUGACAACAAUAUAAAUCUAAAUGUAAUCAUUCAAGGAAUUAAAUUCAUUUUUAAUCUC
rnacentral:sRNA from 1 species